ACCAGCCCACUUGUCUAGUAAAUCUUCAACAGUGAACCACUUGAGUCAAUGCACAUGCACCAUCAUGCUGCGAUCUUGGCUUAUCCAAGAAACAGAAUAUGGUUAGGAAACCUUAAUCUACUACAUAGACCCAACUUUGUGAAGAAGUCUUGGCAAGCUAGGAUAGCCAUGCUCUAGCAAUCUCACUUACGACCACAGCACAUCCUCAUUUGUUAUCAGUUAAAGUGGCCUAAUCCUCUAUGAGAAAAGGCAAAUCUAGCCUCUUUCAAUCUUCCCCAUUUGUCAUGAUGUGUCCAAGCUUCCUGCUCAUCUUCCUCACCAACUGCAUUUGCUAAUUCCCUGGUAGCUGCAUGCUAUCUGUAUGCCAGCUCUCCACACAUUUGAAGAAUGUUAGCUUUGUUGUGGACUUAUUGGCCUCUGAAUUGCUUCUGUAGCACUGGUCUGUCAAUCUGACAUGUAGGUUGUAGCUCUUUGGGUGGCUUUAACAGCAUUAAGUGGUAUUUUUUUAGUACCGACAAUCCUUUUGAACUUCUAUGCAUUCUGCAAAACCACUUGCUAGGUCCUCAGCAGUGUCAAGUUGGAUAUCUUUAUUCUUAUGAUGGGAUUAGUAGAACUUAUCCAUCAUUUUUCCCUGAUUUUCAAAUCUCUUGGAAGUGGCUAGUUAAACAAAUCAACCUAGUUUCUCUCCAUAAUAUUCCAAAGCUUGAAUAUUAUUUUCAUCCAUCCAUAAUGCCUUAUCCUUGCACAUGGUUUUCACUUCU
rnacentral:lncRNA from 1 species